rnacentral:rRNA from 1 species
CCUACGGGAGGCAGCAGUCGAGAAUCAUUCACAAUGGGGGAAACCCUGAUGGUGCGACGCCGCGUGGGGGAAUGAAGGUCUUCGGAUUGUAAACUCCUGUCAUGUGGGAGCAAAUUAAAAAGAUAGUACCACAAGAGGAAGAGACGGCUAACGCUGUGCCAGCAGCCGCGGUAAUACAGAGGUCUCAAGCGUUGUUCGGAAUUACUGGGCGUAAAGCGUGAGUAGGCUGUUUCGUAAGUCGUGUGUGAAAGGCGCGGGCUCAACCCGCGGACGGCCCAUGAUACUGCGAGACUAGAGUAAGGGAGGGGGAACCGGAAUUCCCGGUGUAGCAGUGAAAUGCGUAGAUAUCGAGAGGAACACUCGUGGCGAAGGCGGGUUCCUGGACAUUAACUGACGCUGAGGCACGAAGGCCAGGGGAGCGAAAGGGAUUAGAUACCCGUGUAGUC